rnacentral:rRNA from 1 species
CUACGUGCCAGCAGCCGCGGUAAUACGUAGGGCGCGAGCGUUGUCCGGAAUUAUUGGGCGUAAAGGGCUUGUAGGCGGUUGGUCGCGUCUGCCGUGAAAUUCUCUGGCUUAACUGGGGGCGUGCGGUGGGUACGGGCUGACUUGAGUGCGGUAGGGGGGACUGGAACUCCUGGUGUAGCGGUGGAAUGCGCAGAUAUCAGGAAGAACACCGGUGGCGAAGGCGGGUCUYUGGGCCGUUACUGACGCUGAGGAGCGAAAGCGUGGGGAGCGAACAGGAUUAGAUACCCUGGUAGUCCACGCUGUAAACGUUGGGCACUAGGUGUGGGGGCCACCCGUGGUUUCUGCGCCGUAGCUAACGCUUUAAGUGCCCCGCCUGGGGAGUACGGCCGCAAGGCUAAAACUCAAAGGAAUUGACGGGGGCCCGCACAAGCGGCGGAGCAUGCGGAUUAAUUCGAUGCAACGCGAAGAACCUUACCAAGGCUUGACAUGC